CACGGGAUAUCUCCAACCUGGCUGGCUGGCGCCUGGCGGCCUGCUACUAGACUCCAAGAUGCAUAAACACAUUCAAGAUUUUUGCUUUUGUUGGCUUAUUUUUGUAUCCACUUUGUGUGACUCGUGAUGUGUGUACCGAGAUUAUUUAACUUUGCAAUAAAAUGGCUGUGUGCAUCCCCUUUUCGGAAAAAAAAAAGGAUCUCCUCUUCGACAGAUCUGUACCCAGCAAAGCCUUGACAUGUUCAGGCUUUCCUCUGUACUGUGUUGCUAAAGAAUAAAGUUUCCCUCUUUACAAAAAAAUAAUCUCCAUACCGAAAAAAAUAUAUGUUAAAAGUUAGAUCUACUAGCCGAAUGCCCGUGCGUUGCAACAGAACAGCAAAAUACAACAUAAAUAAAUUAGCUUGACUCGUUAGAACGUGUGUGCAGUUUUUAAUGUUAUCACGGCAAACACAAGUCUCGUUUUGUUUCGCUAACACAACACACCAUCGAAUAACAAACAUGGUGUUUUUGAAUCAGACAAUGACUCAUAAUUUCAUAUACAGGUUUGUCGACCACCCUUGCAACAACAAUAAAACAUGUCUUCUGACUAUUUUUGACC
rnacentral:lncRNA from 1 species